ACGAACAAAAAAAAGAAAGGAAACGACACCAAAGACAACCACACACACAAGAGUAAGCCGUUGGUUCUGUCUUUUUUUUACUUCUUGUCUUGUUCCCUCUCUUCUGCCAUUGUCGAUACGUUUUUCAUUUCCAGUUCGGUGGGAUUUUC
rnacentral:ribozyme from 1 species